ensembl:lncRNA
UACUUGCAUACAAAGGUUGGAUGGAAACCUGGCUAUAGACAGUCACUCAAUUUGCCCCUGUCAGCUAAAUGUUUUUUGGGACUGGUAAAUUAGUCUAGCCAGCUAUCUAAACUUGUAGUAAUCAUGAUUGAAUUAUAGCCCUGGGGCCCCCCAUUGAUUUUGUUCGUCACUCUCACUCAGAUAUUAAAAACUGCAAAUGUUUCUCCCCUUUGGCAAAAUGAGUAGAAUUAAAAUGGGGAAAUAUUCUUCUGCCCCAUGGAUUUUUUGUUUUAGAAUUGUAGCAAAGUUGCUUUAAAACUGUAAAAUGUUCUUUGAGCGAUGGGUAACGAUGCUUCGAGGGUGACUGUUGUUGAUGUGUGCAGAGGGGCCCUGGUUCGCGCCCGGGUAUGGGCGAGGGGACGGUCUAAAGUUAUACUGUUACAGGUACACAGACCCGCGAGCCAUGGCGGCCCCUCAUUAGUUUUUUGUGUGGCCCCCCCACACCCAUCAAAGUUGAUGUUCCUUAUCUGGAGAAACCUGCUGGUGGUGAACCAUCACUAGAGGUCCUACAGUGAGUCCCAGAUGGCAACCUAUUCCCUAUACAGUGCACUACUUUGGACCGGGUUCCGUAAGGGACCACCGGGUUCUGAUCAAUAGUAGUGCACCAUAUAGGGACUAGGAUGCCAUUUGGGAUAAUACCCUGACAGUGUGUUACCCUGAAGGCUGAACCUGCGAGUGCUGUUGUGCUGUGUUUCCAUCAACAAAGAGACAAAGAUGAUAUCCAUUUAGGGCCGUGUUCGGUUGGAGUGUGGUAUCGAGCUCCUCAGAAAGACUGCCUGUGGAUGCUGGCUGGUAUACAUGUUAUCUCAGAGACUCCCUGUGGAGCUGGCUGGGUGAAUUAAAUCAUUUGGAUAUAGCACAUAGGGUCCCUUGGGUUACUGUCUAGCUAACAAGCUUUAAAAAAACCAUCUCCAUUGAAUAGAAUAUGGAUGGCCAUGGCAUUAUGCUUCUGCACUUUACAGUGGGGUUUUAAAACCACACACAUGAAAUGUUCUGUUCCUCUGCGAUACUCGGGCUGAUAGGUCCUGUUCCUCUGCGAUACUCGGGCUGAAACAUCUUGUUCCUCUGCGAUACUCGGGCUGAAACAUCCUGUUCCUCUGCGAUACUCGGGCUGAUAGGUCCUGUUCCUCUGCGAUACUCGGGC